rnacentral:lncRNA from 1 species
UGCAUUUGUGUGGGACAGAAGUCGGACAUUCUCUCUGAAAUCUCUAUCAGUGCUUCUAAAUGGCAUAGGCGUGGGCAUCGGUGAUGGCUCAGUAGAUCUAAACCUGUCGGAAAAUCUGAGCAAUUGGAAAAUGUUUGUGCUCGCUCACCUCCUGACAAAGGAAACAAUAACUAACACAGUGGGAAGCUGCAGCUAUCUUCUGACACAUUAUGUUUCUAGCCCCAAAAUGUCACCUGCAACCCAGAGAAGGGAGAUGAAUGAAAACCAGCAGUGGCCCUGAAACACACCAAAGGAGAAAAAAAAAAAUCCAGCUGCAAAGUCGACUGAGAUUUCUUUAAAGCCCAACACGCUGUUGACGGCGGACUUUCGCCUAGUCUGAGCUUGUAUUCUCUUGUAAGGUCAAGGGUCUUCUAAUUGACCAGGCAGGGGAACUUAAGUCUCUAAUUUGAGGAGUAACUGCAGCAUGUGACUUCUUUGCAGGAAGUCCCGAGAGAGAAAAGCUAGGUAAAUCUUAGGAUGGUUUUCACAUGAAAAUGCAAAGAUUCCGAGUGUAUAAUGUUUUAAACAGAGGAGACCCAGGAAUUCACCUUGUCCUUUGGAGUCGAUUCUACAAAUUUUACCCGGAGUGUCCUGUGGUACUAGCAGGAGGAUUCCUUAGAGCUUGUAGAGGUUGAAUGCAGGUGAUGGGGAGAUAUGAUUUAUUAACUUCACAGUGAUAUCUUUCUUAGAACUUUCCCAAAUAGCUAGUUUUGGAAACUGCAUGAUCUUUCCCAAAUAAGUAUUACUUAAUUAACCAAAUUAGUAGAAACAUAUGUUUAUUAAAUCUGAGGUGGAGCUGACGGAGGUGGGGGAGGGUCGUUGAAGGAUCAUCAGGGAUGGGAGAGGCACUCCAGAGGAUAAUUGGAAGUGAACAUGGUGAAAACACACUUUAUGUAUGGAUUAAAAUUCUGCAAAGAGACCAAUGAGCAUAUGCUUUAAAAAUCUUAGAUUAUUUGAGCUAAUGACAUACUGUGGGACUCUUUAGAGUGAAGUUACUAGCAAUCAGGAAAUAAAAACCAUAAUUGAGUUUAAUGUAUCUGCCAGACCAUUUAUCCUAGUUUCCCAUAUUCCUGCUUGGUUUGUUUUGCACUGGCAGAUACUGAAAACGGUGAUAUCUUCUGAACAAAUACUGAACAAAAGUAACUUAAAAUUUGUUUCUUUGAGACAGUGUCUUAUGUGACCCAACUGAACCCAACUCAUUAAAAAAUUGAUCCUCCUGCCCCUACCUUCCAGGGCAGAGAAGCACCCUAGGCCCAACAGAUGCCAUAUAGAAUGCCAAAUUAUAUUUACAUUUGCAACUUCCAGGAGAAAGGGCUUAUUUGGCUCACAGUUGCAGGUUAUGCUCUGCCCAUCAUCAUGAGGGAUUCAAGGAGGGAUUCAAGCUAGCAGCAGGCAGCAUGUUACAUCCAUAAUCAAGAGCACAGGGCAGUGGAUUGAUGUGUACACGCCAGUAGAGCCCAGCACACCUUUUCUAUUCUUAUACAGUCCACAAUUCCCUAGAAAAUGUUGCCACUCAGAAUGUGUGGGUCUUCUCACCUCAGUUAGCUUGGUCAAGACAAUUCGGUACAACAUGCCCCAAGUCAACCUGCUUUACACAGUCCGCCAUUGAGACUCCCAUCCCUGGCAGUGGGGUGUAGGAGCUUUUCAUAUGUGUAAUUGCUGCAUUAUUAUCUUUUUUUAAAAGAACACUUAGGUAUAAUUUCUCAUAUCUUUCUUUUUUAUAGCUAUAAGAUUUCAUUAAAAGAAAGUCAGUCUCAUCACAGAGUUUGGAUGCUGGUGAAUUAAGUGCACAGACCAAUCUGUGUCAGCCUUUGCUGGUAUGUUCGGUAUGACUGGUAUGAUUUAGGUGCUAAUAGAGUAAUUUAACAUAUAUCGAGAGUGUGUAAUAUUAAGUUAGGUAAGCAGACCCAGUUGUAUCCCAUCACCGUUGUAUGGUUAAUAAUUGGACCAGAGAUGAACUUUGUCUGAUUUUCUACACACGUGGAGCUGCCAGAGACCAAUAACUGUUCCUUGAUUAUUAAUAAAACAACUCUUCUCAAAAGCGAGUCUUCCCUGACUUUCCUUUCCCUCUCACUUGAGAUCUCUCUGGCAGGAAACAUGCCAUGAUACAUCAAGCACUCAGUAGAAAUUCAUAGAAAUAUUACACAUUUACAACCCCCUUUCAUUCUGUAAAACUUCAUUUUAGUCAUGUAGGCAUUAUGUUAUACUCUGAUAUUUUAGCAGUAGUUGGCACAAUAUAUUAUCAGAGAAAUAUGUUAGAAAGGGAAAAGGAACAAGGCUUUGGAUGAUUAAGUUAUAUUAACAGCUUUCUCUGGCUUUAUUUAAAAAUUGAUACAAUAAAUGUCACCUUAAAUAUUUUAUAAUAUAUUUAAUCUGGAGGAGCAGGGGUUUUACAAUUUAUUAUCGAACAUAGCAUUUCUUAACAAAGUUUCUUGUAGAAAAUUUAUUAGUGCGUAGAAUAAAGAAAAAUAAAUGUGUGUGUUCUGCUUUUUUGCUACAUGUAAAAUUGGUUGGUACAUUAAAAUAAAUAAAUAAAUGUGAUUUGGAUGACAGUAGACUAAUGCUACACAUAUAAGGAAUAUUUAAAUUAUUUGGUGUUUCUGAUUUUAGUUUUUGACCUAACACGCACUAAUCAAAUUAGUAACUGAUUUUGUGAGGUCCUAGUUCAUAAGGGAUUUAAACCUUUCUCUUGGGAUGUUGACUGCUUCCAGAUUAUGCAACAAGACAAACUGAUUAAUUGGAUCUAUCCAUCCACCCAUCAAUUGAUAUAUGAUCUACUCCUUCAUCUAUAUUGGUUACAUUUUUAUCAACUUGACAGAAGCUAGAGUCAUCUAUGAAUUGGGAAUGACAGUUGGAGAACCUCACCCAUCAGAUUGGUCUGUAAACACGUCUGCAGAGCAUUUUCAUGAUUGGUGACUGAUGUGUGGCACUGUGGGCAGUGCCACCCACAGCAGUGAAGUGACCAUGCAGAUCAGAAUAACAAAAUGUCAUUCCUAUGAAGAGAUGUAGCAUAAGAGUGCCAUGGAGCACCAGGUACAGAAGCCAAGGAGCAUUUUAGAAGCCUUCCACUGAUAGCAGUGUAAAAUGGAACCAUUUUACAGACAUUGCUCUGACUGAGAAAUUGUUAGUACAAUGCUCUGAGCUCUGCCUCAUUGAGGAAGAUCGUCUGGAUCAUCUCAUGAAUCAGGUGGGUUUAUGUUGGAGGGUGACAUGGAGUAGGUUUGGGGGAAGGGAAGUAUCGUUCAUAUCAUUUAUAGCCUGGAAGCAGUUUCAAUGACAAGGAACUAAUUAUUCACUUUCUGUCUUUCACUGCUUUGUCGUGAAUGUGUAUGGAGCUUGAUGCUGGUCUCUACAUUAAAAGUUCUGUGUUAUGAAGAU